rnacentral:rRNA from 1 species
GACGAACGCUGGCGGCGUGCUUAACACAUGCAAGUCGAACGGUAAGGCUCCAGCUUGCUGGGGUACACGAGUGGCGAACGGGUGAGUAACACGUGGGUGACCUGCCCUGCACUUCGGGAUAAGCCUGGGAAACUGGGUCUAAUAACGGAUAGGACCAUGGUGUGGAUACUGUGGUGGAAAGUUUUUUCGGUGUGGGAUGGGCCCGCGGCGUAUCAGCUUGUUGGUGGGGUAAUGGCCCACCACGGCGGCGACGGGUAGCCGGCCUGAGGGGGUGGACGGCCACAUUGGGACUGAGACACGGCCCAGACUCCUACGGGAGGCAGCAGUGGGGAAUAUUGCACAAUGGGCGGAAGCCUGAUGCAGCGACGCCGCGUGGGGGAUGACGGCCUUCGGGUUGUAAACUCCUUUCACCAUCGACGAAGGGUUUCUGACGGUAGAUGGAGAAGAAGCACCGGCUAACUACGUG